UGUAUGGAGUGAAGGGGAUACAGAAGGGUACUGACAUGCUAUGCGUAAUCUCUCUUUCUUUCUUUACAGGCCGGCUGGUUCUGAUGAUGAAAUGACAGUGCAGUAGUAGAGGAAUGGUAGCAAUGGAAUUUGAAACACUGGGGAAAAUUACUGACAACUUGGAAGAUGUGUCGAAGCCAAUCAAAGCUGUUGCAGUAUGAUUGUCUUCUUUAAUUAAUUGGACAAAUGGAAACUAUUACCAGCUUUUUUAAAGGUUAAGGGACUUGUCAAGCAGCAUAUAGACUCAUUUAACUACUUCAUAAAUGUGGAUGUAAGUACUGGAUUUGUUUGUUAAGGUUAAGACACUAGACCCGGGAUUGAGGAUUCCAGGAUUAUGCCCCAGUUUGAAUUCCUUGUACAAGACACUUGACAUGUACUCUCAGUGUCUAAAUUCUCCGUCCAGACUGCAGACCGUAGAAUGCAGCCUUAUUAACUCAUUGUAUUCUCAAGUAUUCUCAUUUCCAUUACUGAGAGCUAACCGUAAACAGGCAAACCUGGGUGAUAUUCAGGCUAACCAGAAUGCUACUUUGGCCCAAAUGUAGUCUGCAGUAUGCAGUCUGCAGUCUGGAAAUAUCAUACACGGGCAAUGGACUAGUAUCCCACCUAAGAGAGGUGAGGUAAGAUCAUAAACACCUUGGUGUCGUCAACAGUUUCUAGUCAGUGAAACUACAUGUACAUGCUGUCUCUCCAUUUGAGGACCUUUGUUUUGUUAAGACAUGUAUUGAUAGAAAUUUUUAUUCCAUAAUU